rnacentral:rRNA from 1 species
GACGAACGCUGGCGGCGUGCUUAACACAUGCAAGUCGAGCGAGGCCCCUCCUUCGGGAGGGUGUCCUAGCGGCGAACGGGUGAGUAACACGUGGGCAACCUGCCCUCAGCUCUGGGAUAACUCCGGGAAACCGGGGCUAAUACCGGAUACGACCUCCACGGGCAUCUGCGGAGGCGGAAAGUUUUUCGGCUGAGGAUGGGCCCGCGGCCUAUCAGCUAGUUGGUGGGGUAGUGGCCCACCAAGGCGACGACGGGUAGCCGGCCUGAGAGGGCGACCGGCCACACUGGGACUGAGACACGGCCCAGACUCCUACGGGAGGCAGCAGUGGGGAAUAUUGCGCAAUGGGCGAAAGCCUGACGCAGCGACGCCGCGUGAGGGACGAAGGCCUUCGGGUUGUAAACCUCUUUCAGCAGGGACGAAGCGAAAGUGACGGUACCUGCAGAAGAAGCACCGGCCAACUACGUG